rnacentral:rRNA from 1 species
AGCGCUUCAGCCAAAAUGAGGCGCGGCAUACAGCUCAGUAACGCGUGGCUAAUCUGCCCUUAGGAUAGGAAUAUCCCCGGGAAACUGGGGCUAAUUCCCAAUAGGCGAAGAACUCUGGAAUGAGUCUUCACCCGAAAAGAGCUUACGUUAUGCUCGUGAGUUUCGCCUAAGGAUGAGGCCGCGACCGAUCAGGUUGUUGGUGAGGUAAUGGCUCACCAAGCCUUUUACCGGUGCGGGCCGUGAGAGCGGGAGCCCGGAGAUGGGCACUGAGACAAGGGCCCAGGCCCUACGGGGCGCAGCAGUCGCGAAAACUUUGCAAUACACGAAAGUGUGACAGGGCUAUCCCGAGUGCCAUCCGCUGAGGAAGGCUUUUACCCAGUCUAGAACGCUGGGGGAAUAAGGAGAGGGCAAGUCUGGUGUCAGCCGCCGCGGUUAUACCAGCUCUCCGAGUGGUGUGGAUGUUUAUUGGGCCUAAAGCAUCCGUAGCUGGCUAAGUUAGUCCUUUGUUAAAUCCACCGAAUUAAUCGUUGGAUUGCGGGGGAUACUGCUUGGCUAGGGGACGAGAGAGGCAGACGGUAUUUCCGGGGUAGGGGUGAAAUCCUAUAAUCCCGGGAAGACCACCAGUGGCGAAGGCUGUCUGCUAGAACGCGCCCGACGGUGAGGGAUGAAACUGGGGGAGCGAACCGGAUUAGAUACCCGGGUAGUCCCAGCUGUAAACGAUGCAGGCUAGGUGUUUGGACGGCCACGUGCCGUUCUAGUGCCGCAGGGAAGCUGUUAAGCCUGCCGCCUGGGGAGUACGAUCGCAAGAUUGAAACUUAAAGGAAUUGGCGGGGGAGCACCACAAGGGGUGAAGCUUGCGGUUUAAUUGGAGUCAACGCCGGG